rnacentral:rRNA from 1 species
UUGAAGAGAGAGUUCAAGAGUACGUGAAACCGCUGAGAGGCAAACUGGUGGAACUGAAAUGUCUCGAGGAAUUCAGCCGUUGGUGUUUGUACAGCCGGUGUCGUCUGAUUUAACGACAGCUUCAUCGGUUGACGCUUACGUCAUCGGUGCACUUUCCUCGUUGUGGACCCGACCACGACCGGUGAGCUGCUCUGUCCAUCGUGCUUGGAAGGUAGCGCCGUCUUCGGAAGGCGUGUUAUAGACUUGCGCAUGGAGCAGUACGGCACACUGGACGAUAGUGCCUGCCCAUUGGGCUCAUAUGGUGGUUGUUUUAUUGGCGAGUUCCGAUGUCACUACUUCGGUAGAGGCAUUGGUCUCUGUCAGCAUUAUGACUGUCCGCUAUGAUUGGCGCUGGUAAGUCUGUGGUUGUGAAGUAGGUAGUCCACCUGACCCGUCUUGAAACACGGACCAAGGAGUCUAACAUGUGCGCGAGUCAUUGGGUUCGCGAAACCUAAAGGCGAAGUGAAGGUAAAGAUCUGUUUUGGCAGAUUGAGGUGGGAUGCUGGGUUACGCGCCCAGCCGCACUACCGGCCCGUUCUACAUGUAUCUCAUGGGGGCGGAGCAAGAGCGUACACGUUGGGACCCGAAAGAUGGUGAACUAUGCUUGCGCAGGUCGAAGCCAGAGGAAA